rnacentral:lncRNA from 1 species
AGGAGGGCGUUAGAGAAUGAAUCUCGGGGGGAGGCAGAGAAAGUCAUGGAGCAGAGAGCUUCCAGGUGUGGAGAUUGAACCACUGUGAGAGUGGGAGGGAACAAAGGUCAUUCUGGAAGCCCCAGCAUGAGCUGGAAGUUGAGUAGAAGACUUGGCAGUUGCCUUUCCUGAAGACCCAGGUCAGAGGUCUGACUCCUGAUUUGGCUGUUAGCUUCCUGCACCCCACUUGUUAGAGGCAGCAUUUGUCGUGUACUACAAAAUCUGCGGCCCUGAAGCUGGCCAGAGGGGCCAAGUGAGGCAUGUAGGAGAGUAACCCACAGGGCCUAGGAUAACACACCCAUGGUCCCACAGGCGCCAGUGGUGGGGGGCUAGGAUAUCAUACACACGGUCACACAGACACGAGGGGGGAAGCCUAGGAUAUCACAUUCACAGACACAGAUAUCAGUGGGGGGGGCUAGGAUAACACCCCCUACACUCAAGGAGAGCCAAAUGGGGUGGGAGGGCUACCUAACAUAACUCAGUGGCAUCCAGAGAGAGGAUUAUGGAGACAAUGUGGAUGGCAAAAUAGUAUUUUCACCUUUUUGGUUUUUGUUUGCUUGGGGUUUGUUUCUUGUGGUUUUUUUUUUUCAGUUUUGAACUCAUUUUUUUGUGUGUGCAUCAUGAAGUAUAUGGAAAUAUGUUUAGAAAAACCACACAUGUUUAACUUAUAUUGGUUUGCUUGGUAUCUUGGGAAGGGAAGGGGAAGAGAGAGAGAAAAAUUAGAAAGCAAGGUUUUGCAAAGGGGAAUAAGAAACCCUUUGCAUGUAUUUGAAAAUAAAAUACUAGUAAAAAAAUAGUUUAUGAGUAGCCAGUUUCGAGAGUCUUUGAAAGUUUACAAAUAUAUUUUACAAGCUCUUUACUCUGUACCCUUUCCCACCCCCUAGACAAUGAUCAAAUUUCUUUUUAAAAACACCCAUGCAAAUUUUUCAUAGGCCUCAACUUUAUAACAAUAUCUCCAAAUAACUUGGUUAACAGUGUCAAAUUUUUUCUAAGCAAGAGGCAAACAAGUCAAGGUAAAAUUUCUCUUUAUUCAUAAGCAUAAGUGCAAGUGUAUAAAUUCUUAGACUACUUUAGAGCAUCAAGCACAUUGUUACAGUCCAUUUCUUAACCUAACAACAUCUAGAUUGCUUUUGUAACAACAGAGCUUAUAAAAUUUUACCAAUGUUUCCAAUUGACGGCAUUCUCCAAUAUAAGAACAUUUUGAAACACAACAAUGUAAUAAACAAUGUGAUGUCAUUAACAUUUGAAGGAAAACCCAUUAUUUAAACUAAAUCCCCUCUGACUGCGGUGGUCUUAAUUCAAUUGAAUUAUUCUUUCCCAAGGACAGAACAUCUCAUCUCCAUUGGCAGGUUACA